rnacentral:rRNA from 1 species
AUUGAACGCUGGCGGCAUGCUUUACACAUGCAAGUCGAACGGCAGCACGGGCUUCGGCCUGGUGGCGAGUGGCGGACGGGUGAGUAACGUCUGGGAAACUGCCCGAUGGAGGGGGAUAACUACUGGAAACGGUAGCUAAUACCGCAUAACGUCGCAAGACCAAAGUGGGGGACCUUCAGGCCUCACACCAUCGGAUGUGCCCAGAUGGGAUUAGCUAGUAGGUGGGGUAAUGGCUCACCUAGGCGACGAUCCCUAGCUGGUCUGAGAGGAUGACCAGCCACACUUGAACUGAGACACGGUCCAGACUCCUACGGGAGGCAGCAGUGGGGAAUAUUGCACAAUGGGCGCAAGCCUGAUGCAGCCAUGCCGCGUGUAUGAAGAAGGCCUUCGGGUUGUAAAGUACUUUCAGCGGGGAGGAAGGCGGUGAAGUUAAUAGCUUCACCGAUUGACGUUACCCGCAGAAGAAGCACCGGCUAACUCCGUGCCAGCCGCCGCCGUAA